GGCCCUUUAGCUCAGUGGUUAGAGCAGGUGACUCAUAAUCGCUUGGUCGCUGGUUCAAGUCCAGCAAGGGCCACCA
rnacentral:tRNA from 1 species